rnacentral:lncRNA from 1 species
CCUUCCUCCAGCUGCCACUUAGAAGUGUAAACAGGAGCCAGUAACAGGAGAAACUGGUGUCUGGAAUCUGAGCGAAAGUGGUCCGAAAGUCAAGGACUAGCCCGGCCAAGGAGAGACCACAGAGGCUUGGGACCAUGUACCUGCAUACUAAGGUUUCUGAGGCCCUACUAUGUGUACAGCACAGUGGUGGACUCUUGAGGGACACGAAGAUGACUAAGACACAGUCGCAGCCUUUCAGCAGCUUCUAAUCCAUUAGGGGAUAUGAGGCAAGUGUACCGCGACCACCACACCAGGACUCAGGUGCAGAUUGCACACCUGAAGGGAAGUGAGGUUGGAGCUGCAAGAGGUGUCACUGUCGGUGAGCAAAGCUAGAAGAGUUUGCCACUUGACAGAAAGAGAAUUUUAGGGUGCCCUGGACUCUUGCAUUUUUCC